rnacentral:rRNA from 1 species
UACGUAGGGUGCAAGCGUUGUCCGGAAUUAUUGGGCGUAAAGAGCUCGUAGGCGGUCUGUCGCGUCGGCUGUGAAAACCCGGAGCUCAACUCCGGGCCUGCAGUCGAUACGGGCAGACUGGAGUUCGGCAGGGGAGACUGGAAUUCCUGGUGUAGCGGUGAAAUGCGUAGAUAUCAGGAGGAACACCUGUGGCGAAAGCGGCUCACUGGACCAUAACUGACGCUGAUGCACGAAAGCUAGGGGAGCAAACAGG